rnacentral:rRNA from 1 species
GAUGAACGCUAGCGGCAGGCUUAAUACAUGCAAGUCGAGGGGUCAGCAAUGACACCGGCGGACGGGUGCGUAACGCGUAUGCAACCUACCUACAUCAGGGGGAUAGCCCUAGGAAACUGGGAUUAACACCGCAUAAUAGUAUUGAUGGCAUCAUUGAUAUUUGAAAUAUUUAUAGGAUGUAGAUGGGCAUGCGUAAGAUUAGCUAGUUGGUAAGGUAACGGCUUACCAAGGCUACGAUCUUUAGGGGCUCUGAGAGGAGUAUCCCCCACACUGGCACUGGGAUACGGGCCAGACUCCGACGGGAGGCAGCAGUAGGGAAUAUUGGGCAAUGGAGGCAACUCUGACCCAGCCAUGCCGCGUGCAGGAAGACGGCCCUCUGGGUUGUAAACUGCUUUUGAAUGGGAAGAAUGUGAUGUUUGCGAGCAUUAAUGACGGUACCAUUAGAAUAAGCCACGGCUAACUACGUGCCAGCCGCCGCGGUAAAAC